GUCUAUUGGAUUUAAAUCGAUAGUCUGACCUGCCCACUGAAUAUUUUAAAUGGCCGCGGUAUUUAGACCGUGCUAAGGUAGCAUAAUCAAUAGUCUUUUAAUUGGGGACUAGAAUGAACGGUUGGAUGAGGUACAAGCUGUCUAGCAAUUGUAAUUUUGAAUUUUACUAUUAAGUGAAAAGGCUUAAAUUAUUUAGCGGGACGAUAAGACCCUAUAAAGCUUUUAUUUGGCUUAUUAUUUUAACUAUGAUAUUUUUGUGCUUAUGUUAAAAUUGGGGUCAAAUUGGGUUGGGGCGACUGGGAUAUAAAAGGUAACUGUCCUUAUGAUUAAAAUAAUGGUUUUUAGGUAUUUGAUCCUGUAGUAUGGGUUAAAAGAUUAAAGUUACUUUAGGGAUAACAGCGUAAUUCUUUUUGAGAGUUCUUAUCGACAAAAGUGUUUGCGACCUCGAUGUUGAAUUAAAGUUUCGUCAAGGUGUAGCAGCUUUGAUUGUAGGUCUGUUCGACCUUUAAAGCUUUACAUGAUUUGAGUUCAGACCGGCGUAAG
rnacentral:rRNA from 1 species